rnacentral:snRNA from 1 species
GUUCUUUCAGCAGUACAUACACUAAAACUAGAAAGACAGAGAUUAGAAUGGUCCCUGUACAAGGAUGACACACAAAUUUGUGAAGCAUUAUGUGUGUUU